AGACGCAGCCGAGUAUCUUGAGGAGAAGGACUUUAAAGCGUUCAGGGAUUUUAGCUGCCGCUGUGGAGUUCCGCCGCUGUUCUUCCGCUGGAGGGCGCAGUAGUUCCUUAAGAGGGAAUGGUGCGGCGAAUAGCUAGUUUUGCUCUUGUUGCCCAGGCUGGAGUGCAAUGGCGCGAUCUCGGCUCACCGCAACCUCUGCUUCCCAGGUUCAAGCGAUUCUCCUGCCUCAGCCUCCUGAGUAGCUGGGAUUACAGGCAUGUGCCACCAAGCCCAGGUAAUUUUGUAUUUUUAGUAGAGAUGGGGCUUCUCCAUGUUAGUCAGGCUGGUCUUGAACUCCCAGUCUCAAGUGAUCUGCCUGCCUUGGCCUCCCAAAGUGCUGGGAUUACAGGGGUGAGCCACUGCGCCCGGCCAAAGUCUGGGCUUUUAGUGUAUCUGUCACCUGAAUAAUGUGUACAUUGUACCCAUUAAGUAAUUUCUCAACCCUCAACCCCUCCCACCAUUCUGAAGCUCCGUCAUUCCACACUCUAUGUAUAGGUGUACACAUUAUUUAGCUCCCACUUGUAAGUGAGAAUAUGUGUUAUUUGACUUUCUGUGUGUGAGUUGUUUUACUUAAGAUAAUGGCCUCCAGCUCCAUCCACAUUGCUGCAAAAGACAUGAUUUCAUUUGUUUUUAUGGCUGAAUAGUAUCCCGUUGAGUAUAUAUACCACAUUUUCUUUAUCCAAUUAUGGUUGAUGGAUACUUAGGUUGAUUCCAUAUGUUUGAUAUUGUGAAUAGUGCUGAGAUAAUCAUAUGAGUGCAGGUGUCCUUUUGAUAUAAUGAUUUAUGUUCCCUUGGGUAGGUACCCAGUAGCGGGAUUACUGGAUAGAAUGGUAGUUAUUUUUAGUUUUUUGAGAAAUCUCCAUACUGUUUUCCAUAGAGGUUGUAGUAAUUUACAUUCUCACCAAUGGUUUUUAACCUAUUGGAUUACUGACAUUUAAAUAAAUAAUAGCAUGUUAAUAUCCAGUGAGGCUUCAGAAUAUUAACUGAGUAUUCAUAGGCAAAUUACUCACCCUCUGUGCCUCAUUUUCUUCAUCUAUGAAAAUGGAAUAAUGACAGUACCAACUUCAUAAGAUUAUGACAAUUAAAUAAGUUCAUGUAUGUAAAAUACAUAGAACAGUAUGGUACAUGCAAAUGUUACAUAAUUACUUGUUUUAUUAGUUAUUAGCCAAAGGUAUUGGUGUGUAUAUCAGACCCUGGAGAGGGAGGAGGUUUACAGUGGAGAGACAGAAACACUGCAAAAGUGCAUCUGACCAUCAUUUCUUUCCCAACUCCUCCUUGCUAAUUCCAUUUUCGGGCACCUCUUCCUUUUCCCUUGGCCUCCCCAGAAACUCAAUUCCCCUCAAUUUUGUUACACAAGCAACUGACUUCUCUACCCCCUAUUCAACCCCAGGCCUUCUUUGCAGAGCUAGCUUUGUGACUGUGCCCUGCUAUCCUGUGAGCAUUUUCCCCAGAUCCAACCCCUCAGGACCACUUCGAGCUCUCUUUUCCUUUUGCCUCCCCCAAUAGCUUCUGGGAAGAGCAGGGAAUAAGAUAGAGAUUUAUUUCCCCACCAAACAGAAUUUUGUCAUCUCUCUUAGAAGAAGAAGAAGCAACAAUCAAUUCUUACGUUAAAUGGCAAUUUUAAUUAUUUUGACUCAUAAACAUUUUAAAAACAUAUUUUAACCACAGUUAAAAAUACAUAUUUUAAACAUAUUUAAACAUAUCCUCCAUAUUAUGAAAUUUCAGUGGUGCGUUACCUAGGUCUUGAUGUUUUAAUGAGUGAAGUCUGUGAAAAUGAGGUUCUAAAUGCUAAUCAGGGUUUCCUAAUUCUGAGAAAGAAGUCAGGAAGGAUGUCGUUAGCUCAUCUGACCACAAAUGUAACACUGAUUCUGCCUAGGAGAGGAAGAAAAUAAAGCAAAACGUGAGCAGUGCUGCUUUCUCAGCCUCAAUUAACACGAGAACACCAUCUCCUCCACUCUCUCCCAAGGACCUGACAAGACAGGCAGAAGCCCUUGUUCUUGAACAAUUCAGAGGGUUGGUAGGAAGGUCUCCAGGGAGAUACUGGACCUCCUGCCACUAACUGCAGUUGGGCUCUCAAGUGAUUAAUGGAAAAAUAAAAGAUGAGACUAUAUUUAUAUCCCAAACUGUGGAGUAUGCCAUACCAGUGACACCUGAUUAUACGGCUAAGUGUUCCAAAAUUCAUCAGCCUGAGACUACAGAAUCAGGUUACAUUUUCUCUUUUUUUUUUUUUUUUUUUUUGGGACAGAGUCUUGUUCUGUCUCCCAGUCUGGAUGGAGUGCAGUGGCGCCAUCUUGGCUCACUGCAACCUCUGCCUCCUGGGUUCAAGCCAUUCUCUUGCCUCAGCCUCCCAAGUAGCUGGGAUUACAGGCAUGAGCCACCACGUCAGGCUAAUUUUUAUGUUUUUUUUUUUUUUUUAGUAGAGACAGGGUUUCACUGUGUUGGCCAGGCUGGUCUCGAACUCCUGACCUCAAGCGAUCCACCCACCUAGGCCUCCCAAAGUGUUGGGAUUACAGGCGUGAGUCACUGUCCCCAGCCACAUUUUCUUUUCUUUUUUUUUGAGACGGAGUCUUGCUCUGUCACCCAGGCUGGAGUGCAGUGGUGCAAUCUUGACUCACUGCAACCUCUGCCUCCCAGGUUCAAGCAAUUCUCCUGCCUCAGCCUCCCAGGUAGCUGGGACUACAGGCGCGUGCCACCACGCCCAGCUAAUUUUUUGUAUUUUUAGUAGAGAUGAGGUUUCACCGUAUUAGCCAGGAUGGUCUCGAUCUCCUGACUUCGUGACCACCCGCCUUGGCAUCCCAAAGUGCCUGCAUUAAAGGCAUGAGCCACCAUGCCCGGCCGACAUUUUCUUUAAUAUACAAAUUUCAAUGAUUCCAAUCGUCUUCUCUGGAAUAUGACAAGCUAAUUCUUUUUUUUUUUUUUUUUGAGUCAAAGUCUCGCUCUGUCACACAGGCUGGAGUGCAAUGGCGCAAUCUUGGCUCACUACAACCUCUGCCUCCCAGGUUCAAGCGAUUCUCCUGCUUCAGCCUCCUGAGUGGCUGGGAUUACAGGCACACACCACCACACUCGACUAAUUUUUUGUAUUUUUAGUAGAGACGGGCUUUUGCCAUGUUGCCCAGGCGGGUCUCAAACUCCUGAGCUCAGGCAAUCAACCCGCCUGGGCCUCCCAAAGUGCUAGGAUUAUAGGUGUGAGCCACCGCGCCCGGCCUGAGAGGCUAAUUCUUAUUAUUAGACUUCCCUUUACUUAAUUGUUUGUUUGUUUGUGGCAGGAAUACUGGGAGAAAGUCAAUAUGACCCUGGCAUUUGCAGGUGUCCUCCCCAAGUACAUUUGCCACCCUUGCUGUGCUCCAUAGCUCUCAGGUCACCUGAUGCCAUCUAGGGACUGACUUCUCCCUGACUGCUGUUGCUUUCUCCCCGAGAUGUGGUUCCCCAAGCCUGGACACAGGCUCUACCCUUUACUCCCCAAAGAAUACCUAAAACCAACAAGUAGGUGCCAGGAAAAAAAAGCCUGACAGAAGUUUUGAGGAUCACAGAAGGGAAUGACACUAAAAUUGAGGAAAAUCUAAACACAAGGGGAUGUCCCAUUGCUCUUUGAAUCUGUUAGCCCACACCCUCCCUAGGGUACCUUCUACCAGGGCUGGCUUCAUGGGCCUGUGACCUAUGCCAUCACACAGGUCCCCAGUCUUAGAAGGGGCUUCAUGCUUAGUGUUCUGCUGUCAUCAUCUUGAAAUUCUUAAUAAUUUUUGAAUAAAAGAUAUCCUGAAUUUUCAUUCUACACUUAGCCCUGCAAAUUAUGUAAGUGAUUCAUGCCUUCUAGUAACCAUUCUUCUCUUUAACCCCCUACCUGCCUGUAUGUGCAGAGACCAGUCCCACAUCUUGCCAACAAAAGCGCCCAUGAUUAUAGUCAACUCAGGCACACUAUUGCUCCAGAGAUGCAAAAAACCUUGCUCACGAUGAAGACUUAGGAGUGACGAAAUUGUCCUUCAAGUACCAUAACCACAAGGUAGUGAUACGAACAGAUAACCAGCAUAUAUUUGGGGUAAUAUUGGCAAAAUUAUCCAAAUGUGGUAGAUUCAGAUAUUUGGUCCCAUGUAGACCAAAAACGAAGCAAAUAAAAUUUUAUUUAAAGAUGUUUGUUUUGGUUAAAGGGCUUGGCCUCACUUAGAUGGACUCACCCUAUACAUGAGGGUGCUUGGGGGAGAGGCUAGAGUGUUUCAUGACACAAAAACAUUCUAUUUGUUUUAUUAUUAUUAUUAUUAUUAUUAUUUGAGAUGGAGUCUCGCACUGUCGAGCCCAGGCUGGAGUGCAGUGGUGGGAUCUCGGCUCACUGCAACCUCCACCUCCUGGGUUCAAGCGAUUCUCCUGCCUCAGCCUCCCGAGUAGAUGGGAUUACAGGCACCCGCCCCCACGUCCGGCAAAUUUUUUGUAUUUUUAGUAGAGACUGGGUUUCACUAUGUUGGUCAGGCUGGUCUCGAACUCCUGACCUCAGGUAGUCCACCUGCCUCGGCCUUCCAAAGUGCUGGGAUUACAGGCAUGAGCCAUCGUGCUGAGCUGACACGAAAACAUUCUGAAGAAUUUGGCUAUGGCACUGAUCUCCAGCCCACCUGCACUCUCAUCUCCACCCCCAAUUCUCCACCUCCUACACCCCUCCCCCUACUCCACCUCAGCCCCUUAGGGCGAUUUAAGUAAUUUUCCAGACCUGACUCUGAAGUUAUCUUCCCAGCAGGAGUCGCAAGGGUGAGUGGUAGAGGGGUGAAGACCUUCAGUGACCAGCUAUAGUCUGAGCUGGGAAGGGACAAAGGCAAGAAGAAGGAGGAAAUGGGUCACUGCCCAUGGCUGGCAGAGCAACUGCUGUGCCUGAGCUUUUAUUCUGUGAACAAAUCUUUGCUCUCUUCACCAGUGACCCACAUGAACUGUCAUUCCCAACUGCAAUAAAGUGGGGCAAGGGCUGAGAAGGGCUGAGAAGGGCUGACUCCACAGCUGUGGAGUAAGAGUUCCCUGGCAGGAGAAGAAAGACUGAAAGACACAGGGCUUUCAUGGAGGCAAAAGAAACAAAGAAAGUCUGAGACAAGGAGAUUAAAAAACAAAAACAAAAAAACAAACAAAAACCUCUGAAAAGCCUAAUUGCCCCUAAAUGCCUCGACACCAAAACUUUGUCAUUUUUUUCUUUUUUGUGGCUGUCUUCCCAUUUUAUUUUUAAUUAUUUUUUUUUUCCGAGACGGAGUUCCGCUCUUGUUGCCCAGGCUGGAGUACAAUGGUGCGAUCUUGGCUCACUGCAACCUCUGCCUCCCAGGUUCAGACGAUUCUCCUGCCUCAGUCUCCCGAAAAGCUGGGAUUACAGGCGUGCGCCACCAUGCCUGGCUAAUUUUUGCAUUUUUAGGAGUGACGGGGUUUCACCAUGUUGGUCAGGCUGGUCUGGAACUCCUGACCUCAGGUGAUCCACCCGCCCGGGCCUCCCAAAGUGCUGGGAUUACAAGCGUGAGCUACCACACCCAGCCUGUCUUCCCAUUUUAAACACCCUUUAUGUUCCAAGUGAGGUAAAGGUGAGGAAUAAAAGGGAGAAUGGUUGCAGAGCCUCAUUAAGCUGGGAGCUAGGAUCACAGGAGCUAGUGGAGAUCUUGGGUGAAUCCUACUGUUUCUUGAAUGAGUCCUAGAAACGCCCGCUCAUUUGGCUACUUCUUCCUUUCCUGCACACAGGAAUUUAACAAGAUUCUUCUACAGCCUGGUGACUUUGUGAUCUCUUAGCCUUAGUCAUGUCCUCUUUCCCUCCCACCCUAGCCCCAGAGACUCUUCCUCUUUUCCUUGGCAGUUCGAGUCCCAGAGUGUUAUUUAUCAGUCAGCAGCAGAGGGCGAUCUGGCCCCGGAGAAUGACCCGGUCAACUCGGGCCAUAUGCCUGGGUUGCUAAUGACUUGCAGCUCCAUCAACAUAAAGCUGAAUUCUUCACAAAGGAACACUGUCACUAAGCUUUUUCCUUUUCAUUCUUGAAAGCUACACUGCCUUAGCUAACCCCUUCCCCCUCCCGCCUUCAUUCCUGCUCUCUUUCCUCUCCCAACCUCUUGGAAGCAGCAGGAAAUGAACAAGGUCCACAGUGGAGAAAAACAAAUCCCAGGGCCCUGCUGAGGAAAACCACAGGAAAAUGACCAAGUGGCAUUAGCAGCUGCAGGAGUUUUAGGUAGCUGUGUGGUGUGCGUGUAUGUGUAUGUGUGUGUGAGAGAGAGAGAGAAUCCCACAUAGCAGUACUUUUCAUAGUUUAGCAUAACAUAAAAAUCACCUGGCGAGCUUGUUAAACCACAGCUUCCUGGGCCUUACCCAGGAAUUCCCGGGGCCCAAGAAUUUGCAUUCUUAACACUCCUAAGGUAUUUUAAUGAUGCCAGUGGAGGACUGACCACAUUUUGAGCAGCACUGCUGUACACAAAUGCAGUGAAAUAGAAUGUAUAGAUCUGAGCCAGGGGCUUGCUUGGAUAACAUCCUGAUAUGAUGGCCUCCCCCAGAAGAGUCAGGCCAGAUCCUUCCAAUUCCAGGCCAGAAGAUUUCAUAGAUCAGCCUACAGCUGUUCCCUCCCCUUGAAAAAGAAGCAGAGAAUGUAUCAACAAGAGCAUUGUUUGGAGAGGGCUGAGCUCAGAUAAUAGGCUGGUUCUCCAUUGACUGUUUCUUUCAUCCCAACUGGCAGAAGAAUCACAGAAGGCCCCUCCUUUCCCCUCCAGCAGAGAUGGAUGCUCUACCUACUUAAAAAUCAAGAAUUCUUCUGACCUUGGCUGUGUCCAACAACUCAUGCCCAGAGGCUUCUGACCUGUCCCCUCCUUAGCACCCUCCAGAUCUGAGAACCUCCAGAGUCACAAAGGCCUGUGGAAAGAGCUGGUUAUCUUCAAGAUACCCAGAGGCGCUUGGGCUGAUUUAAAGGCACUACUCCCUUCUGUUUAUGCAGCAGAAGAUAACAAGACAGACAGAAGUGCUGCUAUGGUCUGAAUGUUGAUGUCCCCACAAAUUCAUCUGUUGGAAUUUAGUCCCUGAUGUGAUACCAAUCAAGAGAUGGGGACUUUAGGAAUUGAUUAGGUCAGAAGGCUACAGCCCCCAUGAAUGGGAUUAGUGGCCUUAUAAAAGAGGCUGGGGGGCCUGGCGUGGUGGCUCACGCCUGUAAUCCCAGCACUUUGGGAGACUGAGGCAGGCAGAUCACUUUGGGUCAGGAGUUCUAGACCAGCCUGGCAAACAUGGUGAAACCACAUCUCUACGAAAAAUAUUAAAAAAUUAGCUGGGCGUGGUGGCGCAUGCCUGUAGUCCCAGGUAUUCAGGAGGCUGAGGCAAGAGAAUCGCUUGAAUACAGGAGGCGGAGGUUGCAGUGAGCUGAGAUCGCGACACUGCACUCCAGCCUGGGCGUCAGAGCAAGACUCCGUCUCAAAAAACAGAGCUGGAGGGAGACUGUGAGACACAUUUAGAAAGCAUCAUUUAUGAGGAACCAGCCCUCUUUGGCAGCUUGAUCUUGGGACUUCCCAGCCUCCAUAUAUGGUACCAAUCCUUCUUUAGUUUUAGUGUCCAUAUCACAGAAGGGCUCAUGUUGUAAAAGAAGUCAAAAGCAGCCUUGAAUAAUCAGAACCCUUCUGCCAGAUUGUCUAAUGUCAAUUUGUUUUCUAGAACUACUGCUUCUACAUGUUCUUCCUCUUCAUCUGGCUCUGGUUUGGAAGCACUUAUCUCCAUCAAGUCAUCUUCUGUUAAUUCCUCAGGUGUGGUGUCUAUUAGCUUUUGAAUUUAUCCAAGAUCUGUAUCUUGAAACCCUUUAUCUCCCACCUUUUUUGGGACAUCCACAAUCUCUUUCAUGAUUUCCUUGAUUGCUUCUGUCAUAUAUCCUGAUAAGUCAUGCACAACAUCUGGACACAGUUUUCUCCAGCAGGAAUUUAUUGUUUUGGGCUUGAUGGCUUUCAUAGCUUUUUCUGUAACAAUGAUGAUGUCUUCAAUGGUGUAAUGCUUCCAGACUGUCAUGAUGUUCCUAUCAGGGUUAUCUUCCAUACUGUUGACAAUCCUUUCCAUAGAGUAUCAUGUGUAAUGAGCCUUAAAGGUCCUUAUGAACCCCCCAUCUAGAGGCUGAAUUAGAGACAUAUUUGGGGGCAAAUAGACCACUUUGACACCUUUGGUGUUGAACUCAUGAGGUUCUGGGUGGCCAGGGGCAUUGUCCAAUAUCAAAAGAACUUUAAAACGCAGUCCCUUACUGGCAAGGUACUUGCUGACUUCAGGGACAAAGCAUCAGUGGAACCAAUCCAGAGAAAAGGAUUCUCAUUAUCCAGGCCUUCUUGUUCCACAACUAAAAGACUGGCAGCUGGUAUUUAUCUUUUCCCUGCAAAGCUUGAGGGUUAGCAGCUUUACAGAUAAGGGCAGUCUUAAUCUAAACCUGACUGCAUUUGUACAAACAGUAGAGUUAGCCUAUCUCUUCCUGCCUUAAAUCCUGGUGCUCGCUUCUCUUCCUUACUAAUAAAUGUCCUUUGGGUCAUUUUUUUCCCCAGAAUCAAGCACUUUCAUCUGCAUUAAAAACCUAUUCAGGUAGAUAUCCCUUUUCCUCAAUGAUUUUCAUAACGUCUGGAAAAUCAUCUGCUGCCUCUUAGUUGACAGAAGCUAAUAAUUCUCUUGUUAUCUUGACAUUUUUAAACCCAAACCUCUUUCUAAAAUUACCAAACAAUCAUUUGCUAGCAUUAAAUUCUCUCGCUUUAGAUUUCACCUUCUUUUUGCUUCAAGUUGUCAUAUAAUGACUUUGCUUUUUCUGGAAUCAUAUUAGACUAUAUACGUAUGAAUUUCUUAUAGCAAUACCGCACCAAUAUAAAUAUAUUGCACCAAAAUAAAUAUAAAAUAAAUGCAAUAUAAAAGUUGCAUUUUCAAUACAAGAUAUAAAGGUAGUUUGCAAAAAGUGCAAGGUUUUCAUGACUGCUGGUAUAGCUGCAGUGACAGUUUCACAAAUUUCCUUUCCUUUUUUUUUUUUUUUAAUGGUUCUUAUGCUGGAUUCAUUUAUCUCGAAAUGGCAGACAAGUACAAGCUGCAGGCCUCAAUCUGUGGAAAUAUCAAGCAAUUCAACUUUUUGUUGUAAUGAUAUAACUAUUCUGUGCUUCUUGGGAGCACUUCCAGCAUCACUAAUGGCACUUCAUAUGGUCCCAAGGUGUUAUUCAAGGUUUAUGGUAUUGCACUAAACAUGAUGAAAACUAUGUGAGAACUGAGAGAUCACUUUUUUUUUUUUUUGAGACAGUGUUUCACUCUUGUUGCCCAGGCUGGAGGGCAAUGUUCACAAUCUCAGCUCACUGCAACCUCCGCCUCCUGCGUUCAAGCAAUUCUCCUGCCUCAGCCUCCCGAGUAGCCAGGUUCAAGCGAUUCUCCUGCCUCAGCCUCCCAAGUAGCUGGGAUUACAGGCGUGCACCACCAUUCCCGGCUGAUUGUUUUUUGUAUCUUUAGUAGAGAUGGGGUUUCACCAUGUUGGCCAGGCUGGUCUUGAACUCCUGACCUCAAUUGAUCUACCCACCUCAGCCUCCCAAAGUGCUGGGAUUAUAGGUGUGAGCCACUGUGCCCAGCCUACUACAGUUAAUUGUAUGCAGUUAUGAUUUAAUACUGCAUCUCUAUAUUUGUUUGCAUUUAUUUCCACUGUGAAUGGUGCAAGUGUUUGUAAGUGUACUUAUGUGUAAGUUUUGAUUUUUUUUUUUUUUUUUUUUUUUGAGACAGAGUCUUGCUCUGUUACCCAGGCUGGAGUGCAAUGGCAUGAUCUCGGCUCACUGCAAUCUCCGCCUUCCGGGUUCAAGCAAUUCUCCUGCCUCAGCCUCCCAAGUAGCUGGGAUUACAGGCAUGUGCCACCACGCCCGACUAAUUUUUUGUAUUUUUAGUAGAGACAGGGUUUCACUAUGUUGUCCAGGCUGGUCUCGAACUCCUGACCUCAGGUGAUCCGCCUGGUGGCCUCCCAAAGUGCUGGGAUUAUAGGUGUGAGCCACCAUGCCUGGCCUCUGAUAAAUUUUAACUUUUUAUAAUGGAUUUAUAUAUCUUUUAUGGCAGUAAAUAAUAAAGUACACUAGUAUC
rnacentral:lncRNA from 1 species